GACGAACGCUGGCGGCGUGCCUAAUACAUGCAAGUAGGACGCAGUUGCGAACGGGUGAGUAAAGCGUAGGUAACUACCUAUUAGAGGGGGAUAAAUAUUGGAGACAAUAGCUAAUACCGCAUACUAGUAGAUGGACCUGCGUUGUAUUAGCUAGUAGGUAGGGUAAUGGCCUACCUAGGCAACGAUACAUAUACGACCUUAGAGGGGGUGCGGGCACCCUGGGACUGAGAAACGGCCCAGAGUCCUACUGGAGGCAGCAGGAGGGAAUCUUCGGCAAUGGGGGGAACCCUGACCGAGCAACGCCGCGUGAGUGAAGAAGGUUUUCGGAUCGUAAAGCUCUGUUGUUCAGGAAGCGGUACUUAACCAGAAAGGGACGGCUAACUACGGGCCAGCAGCCGCGGUAAUAC
rnacentral:rRNA from 1 species